rnacentral:misc_RNA from 1 species
CAUCCCCAUGUUCUUCAAGUACAUCGAUUACAAAUAUUGGUUCAGGUUCAAGUCUCAAAUUAUGGUCCACUUGCUCACGUAAUGUAAGGUCUCGUAUAUCAUUCCUUAAGGCACGUACACAGCGCAAUAACUCAAGUGCUGUAUGCCGAAUCUGGCUAUCCACAGAACUAAGGAAGAUAAGACCCACUGCAUCAAUCUCAGAUGUGCGAAACUCAAUUAUUUCUGAUUGAUGAAAAGAAGACUUCUUAAAUCCUUCAUUUCCCUGCCCCCCACGCUUUGUG